rnacentral:rRNA from 1 species
UACAGAGGGGGCAAGCGUUGUUCGGAAUCACUGGGCGUAAAGGGCGUGUAGGCGGUCAAGUAAGUGGAAUGUGAAAGCCCCCGGCUUACCCGGGGAUCUGCAUCCCAAACUGCUUGGCUUGAGUACGGGAGAGGAUGGAGGAAUUCCUGGUGUAGCGGUGAAAUGCGUAGAUAUCAGGAGGAACACCGGUGGCGAAGGCGUCCAUCUGGCCCGAUACUGACGCUGAGGCGCGAAAGCUAGGGGAGCGAACGGG